GUCAAGUGACGAAGCGUGCACGGUGGAUGCCUUGGCAGCCAGAGGCGAUGAAGGACGUUGUAGCCUGCGAUAAGCUCCGGUUAGGUGGCAAACAACCGUUUGACCCGGAGAUCUCCGAAUGGGGCAACCCACCCGUUGUAAGGCGGGUAUCACCGACUGAAUCCAUAGGUCGGUGAGGCGAACGCGGGGAACUGAAACAUCUAAGUACCCGUAGGAACAGAAAUCAAUUGAGAUUCCCUGAGUAGCGGCGAGCGAACGGGGAUUAGCCCUUAAGCUAAACAACUGGUAGGAGAAGGCUCUGGAAAGUGCCGCCAUAGUGGGUGAUAGCCCCGUAUCCGAAACCUGAGUCUGGUGAAAUCGAGUAGGACGGGACACGUGAUAUCCUGUCUGAACAUGGGGGGACCAUCCUCCAAGGCUAAAUACUCCUGACUGACCGAUAGUGAACCAGUACCGUGAGGGAAAGGCGAAAAGAACCCCGGAGAGGGGAGUGAAAUAGAUCCUGAAACCGUGCA
rnacentral:rRNA from 13 species